AAGUCGUAACAAGGUUUCCGUAGGUGAACCUGCGGAAGGAUCAUUAACACGUUAUCCAACGUAUCAAACCAAACGCGAACUGGCCUCCCUAAGAACAUAACUGUAACUGGCCGGAUGAGUCAAGUGGGUAGAUCUCGGUCUACGCUCAUCAGGGUACUAAAGGGUAAAACCUUAGAGUUACGAAUCUGAUCUUAGGCUUUCUGUUUCUUCACAGCUUGAUCACUUCAAGUUGGGUUGAAAUGACCAUACAAUUUCACUACUUACUAAUUACAUUUGUCUAAUACUAACUAUUUGGGAACUAAAGCAGAUUGAUGGAAAGCUUCGGCUGACCAAAUACGAGCUUGACUUUUCGAUAGUACUAAGUUUAUCUUAACUAAGCACAACUCUUAGCAAUGGAUAUCUUGGUUCUC
rnacentral:misc_RNA from 1 species